UCCGCGGCCAUCGUCGCUCGAUUGCCGCCACGCACGCCACAGAGCCUCCCCAUCCCUAUAAGCACACCCAGGGAACCCUAGAUCGAGCUCGCCCGAUCCCCUCUUUUUCCCCAUCGUGCCCCCUCCUCAUCUGCUCGAAAUCGAGCGCAAGAGCUCGCGCGGUGAUUGCGCCGUCGUCAUGGUUGCCGUAGCCACUGGCCACCGUUCGCCGUCCGCUGAUGCCCAGAAGAAGCGCGUCGUCAUCCUCUUCUUCCACGUCAAGCGCCACCAGCUAGGACGGCCUCGUGCCGUCGCUUCCGUCGAUCCCCUCUGCGGGCAACCGUCGUUGUCCGUCGUCGACGCGCUCGACCCUGCCUCCCCCUCCGGUCGGCGGAGAAUGCCGCCACCACGCCGUCGUCACCAAGCCUCCCCCGAGCCCGCGAACGCACAUCUGCAGGGCCCGACCCUGAGACUGCCGGCGACCCCCGAUCGACUACGGUGUUGACGACCCCUGCUUCUUGCCAGAGCAACCAGAUGCCGGAGCCCAGGACCCAGACGCCACCGUCGACGACGACUCAUACUACACCGGAGGUGCCUACUGCUACGUGCAGGCCGCUGACGACGACCAGGAGUAGUGUAGGAGGAUCCCAGGCAGGAGGCUUGCGCCUCUUUCGAUCUGUAUCCCAGUUUGUGCUAGCCUUCUUAUGGCAAACUUGUUUAACUUAUGUCUGUACUCAGAUAUUGUUGCUUCCGCUGACUCCUCUAUGAUCGAGCACUUGUAUUCGAGCCCUCGAGGCCCCUGGCUUGUAUUAUGAUGCUUGUAUGACUUAUUUAUGUUUUAG
rnacentral:rRNA from 1 species